AGGCGAACAGAUUAGUAGAGCUGGCGCUUCUAGCAGGCAUCUUGGAUGUUAUUGCAUUUUGUAUAUUCUGUAACUUGUCAGAAUAUUUUGGCACGUUUAACGAUGUCGUGAGUAUAAACUCCUUGCAAACAUUUCUGUAAUACUUAAUCUUUAUAUAUAAAAGUAAGGUUGUGUGUUGUCUGUCUCCUACGAUUUAGAU